rfam:Asian citrus Psyllid, Diaphorina citri - Florida Strain, whole genome shotgun sequence.
GCCUAGUUAGCUCGGUUGGUAGCGCGUCUGCCUUGUAAGCGUUAGGCCGCGGGUUCGAUUCCCGCCCGGGGCG